AGUGAACGCUGGCGGUAGGCCUAACACAUGCAAGUCGAGCGGAUGAAGAGAGCUUGCUCUCUGAUUUAGCGGCGGACGGGUGAGUAAUGCCUAGGAAUCUGCCUGGUAGUGGGGGAUAACGUUCCGAAAGGAACGCUAAUACCGCAUACGUCCUACGGGAGAAAGCAGGGGACCUUCGGGCCUUGCGCUGUCGGAUGAGCCUAGGUCGGAUUAGCUAGUUGGUGAGGUAAUGGCUCACCAAGGCGACGAUCCGUAACUGGUCUGAGAGGAUGAUCAGUCACACUGGAACUGAGACACGGUCCAGACUCCUACGGGAGGCAGCAGUGGGGAAUAUUGGACAAUGGGCGAAAGCCUGAUCCAGCCAUGCCGCGUGUGUGAAGAAGGUCUUCGGAUUGUAAAGCACUUUAAGUUGGGAGGAAGGGCAUUAACCUAAUACGUUAGUGUUUUGACGUUACCAACAGAAUAAGCACCGGCUAACUUCGUGCCAGCCGCCGCCGUAACAC
rnacentral:rRNA from 1 species